AAUGAAUCUUGUUUUAUGAAAUUUCGGGUUAUGGGUAUUAUCUGAACUGAACCCGGACCUAAAUGGAUAUUCGAUAGAACAUGAGACAUUCAAAAUCCCAAAAAAAACUUGUACCAAACAUGAUCUCAGUUCCUAAUAUAUAUCCAAAAUACACUAAGAAAUUAUUGAACAUCGAAAAUAAUUAUCUAUUACAUGAAGGUUGAUAAUUGAAGGUGGCGGCUGAAAAUUGAAAUUUUUAGAUUUUGGUUUUGCUUUUAUUCAAUAUUGUUUCUCAUUUCAUGAGAAUUUUGAUUUCGUUUUAUGUAUCAUUUAUUUGAUUUUCUAUCUAUCAGUAACUAUGUUUACUUUUUGUUUGAUUUUAAAUGAUCACGUUUGAUGUUCUUUUCUUAUUUUUGAACCAAUUUACUUACGCUUUGGUUACAAAAGGUACAAAUCAUGUACUUUAAAACCGAAGAACCGAUUUGUCUUAUGUUUUGGUUACAAAGUAUGUAAAAAUCAUGUAUAUUUAAACCGAACCCGAAAGUACAUCGGACUGUACCGGUUCUUUGAAGAUUUACCAACCCCGAUCCGAACCCGAUAGAACCCGAACCGAACUUUCAUAUAAUCCGAAUGAAGCUGAUUUUGAUAAACUUGGAAAACCGAGGCCCAAUUUGAUAAAACCGAAACCCGAUUGGGACCCCGAAGAUAAUAGUUAUGUAUUUUUACAAAGAAAAAAAAAGAGAAGAUAAAUAGUUAUUUACUAGUGUUACAAAACAAAAAUAGUUAUGUACGAAGUUUUUUUGACUAAUUUUUUUAAUGUACUAAAUUUUUAAAACAUCAAUAUAUUAUGAUCAGUAUGAUUUUUUUUUUUGAAGAAAAAAGUUCUUUACUAUGCAAACUGAGAAAUUAGCUGUGUUCUAAGUGUUAUUUAUUUGUACUUGUACUGUCUUUUGACAUGUCAUAUAGUUGAUCAAAUAUAUUCUAAAUGUCGAGAAAGAAUAGUCGUAUAAAAUUGGUUGCUUUGAAAUGGUACCACUUUACAGGUUGAUUUUGGUUUGAAUACUUUUUGCUCGAUUAAGAAAUUAAAUAAUCAAAUUGAAAACAAUACAUAUUGUGGAUUUGACUAUUUUCUCAGUUUUAAGGGAAACCAAUAAUUUGAAUGAUAAAGAUCCAAAGCUGAAGGAACUAAUAGCAGAAAUUAAGAACUUAUGAGCAGAGUAUGAUAAUGCGGACAAAUAUAUAAUAGUAAGAUCAAGUUAGUGCAACUUCUUAUCGUAGUACCUAAAAGAUUAGAUUAACAAUCAUGAAUCAUGAAAAGAUGAAGGCAAAUCAGAAGAGAAUUAACUAGAGGUGUGAUUAAAGAAGAAUGAAAUUGCAAACAUGAUUUUGGGGUCUUGAGUUCUGACGUUAAUGUUAAUCAAUAUUUAGAGUUACGUUUAGUCAUAAGAUUUACGUGUUCAUAUUCAAAUGCAAAGAUGUUUUAUAUGACAUCGAGUGAUUUAUAAGAAUUUAAAAUAGCAAGGUAUCAUUAUGAUAUGUAGGCAAUAGGCAUCAUCGACAUUGAUAAACUUAUAUGGGCAUUUUCUUGUAUUGGGUUGGGUCAUUACCUCAGUGGGCUUAAAUCGUGGAUGCAGUUUGAACGACGACGCGUAAUGCUCAUUUAGCCACUAUCGUUUUGACGAAUGUGGAUAGCUAAAGUAUACUUCUGUCCUUGUCCUUGAUCAUCCUCUCUUCUCGUACUUGUUCCUUGAGUAAUAAUAGUCUCUGACUAAAGGAGAAAUACGUAUCUACACUAGUUACAGGCUUACAGCCCAUUUCCGACAAAAGUUUUCAUUGUUUGGAACCAAUGAGCUUACAGGGAAUGGGGCGGCCGUAUCCUCUGAUCAAGAACAAGCUCAAGUACAUUGGAUAAUUAGUGAAAAUGUGCACUUCAUUCUUGAGUUAAGAUCCAUUUGACAAGUAUUAUGAAAGCAAAUCUUCUAAAGAGAUUUAGCUUCAUACAAAGACGCGAUUCCCGACCAAAAGUCAGUCGACUUGGACUGAUUCAAACAGGUAGUUUCCGAAAUAUAGUCGGAGAUGGGAAAACUUGGAGAUUACGUGGCAAAUUAUAGUUGGAGCUGUCAGUAAUUAACUAAUUUACUGCUCGUAAUUAUUCAUGAAAAAUUGAUUCAGUAAAUCUUGUGAUUAUUCCUAAUGAAUGGAUGUUGCGGGCAGCACUAGGGUCAAUUUCAUAAUAAAAAUUAUUACAUGGGUCAUUAAGCUAAAACUAUAGCUUUUUCUCUAUUUUUCUUCUCAGUAUACAAGUAAAUUUUUUUUUUUACAAAAACCAUGUGGGUCAUAUGAUCCCCUGACCAAGAGAUGGCUCCGCCGGUGGUUGCAGGUGGAGUCACACCUUUCGUUCUUGCAGGUGUUGAAUUCAAGAGAAAGGAGAAAUCGACCGAUACAUAUAUCAGAAUCUAACAGUUCCGAUCAGUAUAUGCACAAAUGAUAUAUACAAUAACACUUAAUUAAUUAAAAUUCAACACACAAGAUAACAAAAUACGACUUUUACAUAAAUCAACCAAUUUUUCAUUAGUUAAAGUAAAUGUAACAAAAUAUAAGAUGUCAGUUAUAGGUCGCUUAACUGUAUGUCGUACAUAGUAAAUAACAAAUACUAGGUAGUGAUCCGUGCCAGGCGCAGGGUUACAUACUUAGUUUAUGUUACAUAAUUGUAAUUUUGUUUCUAAAAAAUUAGUUUUACUUUAUUGAUUUUUCAGUUAAUUAACAUUUAAUUAUAUAGGUAUAAAACCAGAAAAUAUUUAAAGGUCUUUUACAUUAGGGCAAUUCUCUCAAAUAACUAUUUUUUUAAGUUUUUGUCACAAAAAUAAUUCUCAAAACUAUUUAAUUUGUAGUCACUCUUUAUUUUGAAAAUUUUAAUUUUAAUUUUUAAAAUUUUGAAAUCUUGUCCUCAAAACCUCACACCUUAACUCUAAACUUUAAGUCUAUAUUAGUUAACCCUACGGUGUAAAUGUAUUUUUAUCAUUUAAUAAAACUUCUUUUGGUCAUUUAUCUAAUUGAGAACUAUUUUUGUGAUAAGAAAAAAUAAAAAUGGUUAUCUUAGGAAAUUUCUCUUUAUGUUAAGUACAUGUAUUAUAAAAACAAAUAUCAAAUUUUUGGACUUAACUUAAUGGGCCAUAGGCAUAUGAUUGUCUUGUACAACUGCAAUGUAAUGAACUACCAAAAAUGUAAAUAUGAAAUCUGAUUUUUAUAGACUAAUUUAGUGGUUAUACGUAUAUAAAGUAUAUGUAUUAUAAAAACAAACUAGAGCUUGAUCCGCGUACCCGCGCGAGUUUUGAUUUUGGUUUUUUUUCUUUUAUAUAAUUUUAAUGAUUUUUUUUUAAAUCCAUAGGUUAUUUGGAUAUUUUUAGUUUCUUACGAACCAACCUAGACCCGGAAAGAGACUCAAACCCCGUCCAAAAAUUUAUAAUACUCAGAUGGAUUUUAAUUUUAAAAU